ACAAGGCAAUUCAGUUGCCAAAAAUUGUAAAAGAGCAAGGGGAAAAAUACUGUGGAAUGAAUAUGCAUGUACGUAUUUCCAAAGCAAAAGCUUCCUGGUAUAACCUGAAAAAGAAGUUUAAGGAGUUACCAGCCCACACAAGAGUUGAAUGGACAGGAGAGAGUUACAGUAUUACUCACUGGCCACUAACCUAAGGACCUGGAAGCAAUAUAUUUUAAGAGAAGAG